GACGAACGCUGGCGGCGUGCUUAACACAUGCAAGUCGAACGGGCCUUGUCCCCUUUUUUUUUGGGGGUGGGGUUAGUGGCGAACGGGUGAGUAACACGUGAGUAACCUGCCCCUCACUUCUGGAUAACCGCUUGAAAGGGUGGCUAAUACGGGGUGUUCUGGCCUGCUCGCAUGGGUGGGUUUGGAAAGAUUCGACCGGUUUUGGUUGUUUUGGUGGGGGAUGGGCUCGCGGCCUAUCAGCUUGUUGGUGGGGUGGUGGCCUGCCAAGGGUUUGACGGGUAGCCGGCCUGAGAGGGUGGGCGGUCACACUGGGACUGAGACACGGCCCAGACUCCUACGGGAGGCAGCAGUGGUGAAUAUUGCAAGAUGGGCGGAAGCCUGAUGCAGCGACGCCGCGUGAGGGAUGGAGGCCUUCGGGUUGUGAACCUCUUUCGCCAGUAAAGAAGGUCCUGCUCUUUGUGGUGGGGUUGACGGUAGCUGGGUUAAUGAAGCGCCGGCUAACUACGUG
rnacentral:rRNA from 1 species